rnacentral:rRNA from 1 species
AGUGAACGCUGGCGGCAGGCCUAACACAUGCAAGUCGAACGGCAAGACACUGAGAGUUUGCUUUUACCGGUGGCGGGUGGCGGACGGGUGACGAGUAUAUCGGACCCUUAUUUUUCGUGGAGGAUAACGUAGGGACGGCUAAGCUAAUAUAGCAUAUCAUGUACGUGUGAAAGCAGGGGAUCUUCGCGGCUUUUGCGUUUGUACUAGCUGCUGCCGGGUUUGCUUGUUGGGUGGGUAAUGGCCCAGCAUGGCAACGAUACGUAGCUGGAUCGCGAGGAUGAUCGGCCGCACGGGAACUGAGACACGGUCCAGACUCCUACGGGAGGCAGCAGUGGGGAAUAUUGGGCAAUGGGCGCAAGCCUGAUCCAGCCAUACCGCGUGAGUGAAGAAGGCCUUCUGUUCGUAAAGCCCUUUUUUUGGGAAAGAAAAGCUGCAGAUUAAUACCCCGCUGUUCUGACGGUACCCAAUAAAUAAGCACCGGCUAACUACGUG